rnacentral:rRNA from 1 species
UACGUAGGGGGCAAGCGUUGUCCGGAAUCAUUGGGCGUAAAGCGCGUGUAGGCGGCCAGAAAAGUCCGCUGUGAAAACUCGAGGCUCAACUUCGAGCUGUCGGUGGAAACUUUCUGGCUAGAGUCCGGAAGAGGAGAAUGGAAUUCCUGGUGUAGCGGUGAAAUGCGCAGAUAUCAGGAGGAACACCGGUGGCGAAGGCGGGUCUCUGGGAAGUAACUGACGCUGAGAAGCGAAAGCGUGGGUAGCGAACAGG